rnacentral:rRNA from 1 species
UCUUCCCUCUUUCUUCGUGCCUAAUACAUGCAAGUCGAGCGAACAGACGAGGAGCUUGCUCCUCUGACGUUAGCGGCGGACGGGUGAGUAACACGUGGAUAACCUACCUAUAAGACUGGGAUAACUUCGGGAAACCGGAGCUAAUACCGGAUAAUAUAUUGAACCGCAUGGUUCAAUAGUGAAAGACGGUUUUGCUGUCACUUAUAGAUGGAUCCGCGCCGCAUUAGCUAGUUGGUAAGGUAACGGCUUACCAAGGCAACGAUGCGUAGCCGACCUGAGAGGGUGAUCGGCCACACUGGAACUGAGACACGGUCCAGACUCCUACGGGAGGCAGCAGUAGGGAAUCUUCCGCAAUGGGCGAAAGCUUGACGGAGCAACGCCGCGUGAGUGAUGAAGGUCUUCGGAUCGUAAAACUCUGUUAUUAGGGAAGAACAAAUGUGUAAGUAACUAUGCACGUCUUGACGGUACCUAAUCAGAAAGCCACGGCUAACUACGUG